AUGAGCCUGGGAACGACGACCCCUCGCACGAAAGAAACCUCACGAUCGAGGCUGCCCUCAUCUAUUCGCUACAACGAUGGGAGCCAUGCCGCCGCCGCCACCGCCACCGCCGCCAACGAUAGAUCCCUGAAACGCCGCGGAUCUAUUCGCUACAUCGAUGGAAACCAGGCGCUAGCCACGGAUCCCUUUGCCGGCGCCGAGCAGUCAUCGAGGAGCCAGCGUCGAGGUCCUCAAGGAGGUGCCGCCGCCAUCGUUGCAGGCCUCCGGGUUGCCAUCGGGACACCGCUGCCGAGAUCCGCCUUCGCCUUCGUCCGGCAGAGGCGGCGGAAGGCAGCCGGGAGGGGAAGCGCACAACGACCCGGAAGACAUCCGCCCUCACACGCUCAUCGUCUUGCUCGAUCUACCCGAGGGCUACCGAUGGGCGCCUCGGCGGCAGCCACGGCGAGAUCUGCGUCUGGGACGUGACAAUCCCUCCACCCCGGUCGCCGGUGAGAUUUCACUGCCUCGAUCCUCCCGGUCCCAGUUUAUCAAGUCAUCCCUGACAAGAGGGAGCGAGAGAUGCUACUGUCGGGCACGUGCACGCACGCGGGGCGGCCGACUGCGAGCAGGGCCGCGUCCUCUCUCCUUCGUCAACCAUGGCCUCCGAACCACUCCAUUGUACCUCUGCGCCCAAGUGUCCGCUCCUCGAUCUUCAACAGAUUUGUUAUCGCCUCUCUUCCGUUGCAGCUAUCCUUCAAGAUUAAGGGGAGGCACUCUUGUGGACCUGCCCAAUGUUCGAGGAGAUACGGCUGACUAAACAAGGUUAUUUUAAAGUUCUGUGUGGUUCAUGUUAGCUAUCUAUCAGUAAUAGUACAACCUUGAUUUUUAUGUCGUUCAGGUUUACCUAACCAUCAGUAACAUUACUUUCUAUUGGAGACUUCUUACAGGAGGUGCUUAUAAAAUGAUAGUUGAACAUGUAUAGAUUUUGGAUCACGAUCAUCUAUUUUCCAGGCAUCAGUUAACUCAAGGCAUCGAUCAAAAUCUAGCGUUCUUUGUUGUGUGCAUCAUGGAGAAGACAAGGAACAGCGAUUGUGUGAUAUAUACGAUAGCGCAAUAUAAAUUUCUCUUGCAUAUUUAUAAUCUGCCAUUUGAAUGAUGUUUUCUGUGUUGUAGUCAAAUCAAGACAAUUUGCAACUUUGGUGUUGUGACAUUGGAGGCCGUGCUCAACAGCAAUGGGGGACUGUUCGUUGAUGCCUGACCCAUGAUGCCGGCGAAGGAAUGAGAGUCGACGAGGAGUGGACACCAUGGGUUCGUGAAUUGGCGAAGCCUCCGUUGUCCGUUUGGUAAUGUCCGACGCAUCAGAGGCAUAGUAUGACUUGUCUCGUUUAUGAUGUCGUCUACAAACAUCCAACGGAGGGGAACCCGUCCCAGUUUCCAUCUUGAUGCAAUAUGUGAGUUGUUUGCUUGCUCAACCUUACGCUGGGAUCAUGUCUACAGACUACAAAUAGAGGGAAGUUGGCAUGUGCCUUACUAGAGACAGAUGAACCAAUAAAAUGAUUGGAAAGGUUCUUCCCAAGCAAAAGUUAAGCUGAAUCUUGUACAGUUUACUUCAUAAUAUAUUUUGGUCAGUAUGUUGUUUAUUUUCUGAAAUUGAUACUCCAUUGUAGAUUACCUAUGAUGAAAAUUACAUUCUCUGCGGGCGCUGAUUCUGAUAUAUUACUAUGGGCAAAGGAAGUUCAAAAUUUAUCUCAAUCAAACAUGUGCAAAGGAAAAUCCAAAAUAUGUUAUGUCAGUAAAAGAUUCUUAAAUUAGUGCGUUGCCACGGGCUAACAAAUCCAAAAUAUGUUAUGUCAGUAAAAGAUUCUCAUUUGAAUGAUGUUUUCUGUGUCCUCGGAUCACCAGGACGCCGUCGUCGCCUCGGAUCCCCACACGCCGCCAGCAUGGCCGUGACAACUGAUGAGCACGCUCCACCCCCAUUCCUGCCACAGAUGAAGAAAAGUAGGCUCAAUCAGGCCAUGAACAGAGUUGAAGAAGGCUCGGGCAGAUGGUGAUACUCUCAAACCAGGAGACCCCAACCCGGUAACCAAGACAUGGAAAAGUGGAGUGCGGCCGUAAAAAAUGCUCAUCAAAUUGCUGGCUCCAUGUUGCCUAUCCACUGUCAUCAUACUUGUCUGCAUCAGAGCGUCUCCGUUGAUGUUGAAUAUGAAACAGUUGCCACUGUCCCACCAGCAGCACCGAAGACGAGCCCAGCAGCAACAUGAUGGAGACCAGCAGUACUUCUUGAUCAGGUAUCUGAAUCAUUGGUCGUCAGUGUUUCCGCGGAAAGCAUGUAGAGGGAGAUGGUUCUGCCGAUAACCGGCACACUGAGGUAGGUGUAGGUCUGGACGCUGGUGCUGUCGGAGGCGCGCCGGUCGAGCUCAGCCAUCACUCAGUCGGGCAGUACUUUGAGCUGUCACAGAAAUAUCAUGAUCAUCUUUUAGCGAAUACAAAGGCUAGGCGGGGCGGUCGAUUUGCAGCGGGGUGGAGUGAGGGAUAUCUCGUUUGGAAGAGCAGGUGGAGUACAAGGUCGUGCCGAGGUCCAAUCACUAGUAGAAAAAGGGUCAAAUGUGAGACACAUUAGUCCCGGUUUGUAACAGAACCGGCACUAAUAUGUCCAUUAGUGCCGGUUCCAACGGCUAGGC